rnacentral:lncRNA from 1 species
GCAGAUCAGAGCAGCUGGCCAAACUGAAAAGGAACGGCCAGAUUGGUGGGAAGCCACAGAGUGAGGGCCACGGCAGCAGCUCCAGAGUCAAGCAGUGGUCAACAGUGGCGAGUGCUUGUGACAUCAGUUGCACCUCCCAGAGUCCUGUAAAGCACAUGGUCCAACCCGUUACCUAACAAGGCCAAUGACAUUUUGCUGAUCUCCACUCUAAUGGGAACACUGGCCUGGCAUUAAAACGCAAGCACAGACUGCCCAGCCAAGUACCGAGGCCUUGGCCAUCCCUAUAAGUCAGCAGCCUUGAACUGUAAACCUUCCACACCCUCUUCAAGUGACUUAGAGCAGCACCAACUGUCACCAUGAAAGCUCUAGUCUCUUCCCUCCUUCUAUUGCCGCCACUAACGCUGACAUAGGUGGUCGCCAGCAGCCCAAAUCCAGACUUAAAAAAUACUGUAAACGUGGGGCUGGCCCCGUGGCCGAGUGGUUAAGUUCGCGCGCUCCGCUGCAGGCGGCCCAGUGUUUCGUUAGUUCGAAUCCUGGGCGCGGACAUGGCACUGCUCAUCGGACCACACUGAGGCAGCGUCCCACAUGCCACAACUAGAAGAACCCACAACGAAGAAUACACAACUAUGUACCGGGGGGCUUUGGGGAGAAAAAGG